GAUGAACGCUGGCGGCGUGCCUAAUACAUGCAAGUCGAGCGAACAGAUAAGGAGCUUGCUCCUUUGACGUUAGCGGCGGACGGGUGAGUAACACGUGGGUAACCUACCUAUAAGACUGGAAUAACUCCGGGAAACCGGGGCUAAUGCCGGAUAACAUUUAGAACCGCAUGGUUCUAAAGUGAAAGAUGGUUUUGCUAUCACUUAUAGAUGGACCCGCGCCGUAUUAGCUAGUUGGUAAGGUAACGGCUUCCAAGGCAACGAUACGUAGCCGACCUGAGAGGGUGAUCGGCCACACUGGAACUGAGACACGGUCCAGACUCCUACGGGAGGCAGCAGUAGGGAAUCUUCCGCAAUGGGCGAAAGCCUGACGGAGCAACGCCGCGUGAGUGAUGAAGGUCUUCGGAUCGUAAAACUCUGUUAUUAGGGAAGAACAAAUGUGUAAGUAACUGUGCACGUCUUGACGGUACCUAAUCAGAAAGCCACGGCUAACUACGUG
rnacentral:rRNA from 1 species